rnacentral:rRNA from 1 species
AUUGAACGCUGGCGGCAUGCCUUACACAUGCAAGUCGAACGGUAACGGGCCUUCGGGUGCCGACGAGUGGCGAACGGGUGAGUAAUACAUCGGAACGUGCCCGAUCGUGGGGGAUAACGAGGCGAAAGCUUUGCUAAUACCGCAUACGAUCUACGGAUGAAAGCAGGGGACCGCAAGGCCUUGCGCGGACGGAGCGGCCGAUGGCAGAUUAGGUAGUUGGUGGGAUAAAAGCUUACCAAGCCGACGAUCUGUAGCUGGUCUGAGAGGAUGAUCAGCCAUACUGGGACUGAGACACGGCCCAGACUCCUACGGGAGGCAGCAGUGGGGAAUUUUGGACAAUGGGCGCAAGCCUGAUCCAGCCAUGCCGCGUGCAGGAUGAAGGCCUUCGGGUUGUAAACUGCUUUUGUACGGAACGAAAAGCCUUCUUUUAAUACAGGAGGGUCAUGACGGUACCGUAAGAAUAAGCACCGGCUAACUACGUG